rnacentral:tRNA from 1 species
GUCCUUGGUUAUGGUUAGCUCAGUUGGUAGAAUAUGAGUCUCUUAAUCUCAGGGUGGUGGGUUUGAGUCCCACGUCGGGCA